UACAGAGGCCUCAAGCGUUGUCCGGAUUCAUUGGGCGUAAAGAGCGCGCAGGCGGCUUGGUAAGUCGGAUGUGAAAUCCCGAGGCUCAACCUCGGGUCUGCAUCCGAUACUGCCCGGCUAGAGGUAGGUAGGGGAGAUCGGAAUUCCUGGUGUAGCGGUGAAAUGCGCAGAUAUCAGGAGGAACACCGGUGGCGAAGGCGGAUCUCUGGGCCUUACCUGACGCUCAGGCGCGAAAGCGUGGGGAGCAAACAGG
rnacentral:rRNA from 1 species